rnacentral:rRNA from 1 species
GACGAACGCUGGCGGCGUGCUUAACACAUGCAAGUCGAACGUGAUUUUUGUGGAAAUUCUUUCGGGAAUGGAAAUGAAAUGAAAGUGGCGAACGGGUGAGUAACACGUGAGCAACCUACCUUACACAGGGGGAUAGCCGUUGGAAACGACGAUUAAUACCGCAUGAGACCACAGAAUCGCAUGAUAUAGGGGUCAAAGAUUUAUCGGUGUAAGAAGGGCUCGCGUCUGAUUAGCUAGUUGGAAGGGUAAAGGCCUACCAAGGCGACGAUCAGUAGCCGGUCUGAGAGGAUGAACGGCCACAUUGGAACUGAGACACGGUCCAAACUCCUACGGGAGGCAGCAGUGGGGAAUAUUGCACAAUGGGGGGAACCCUGAUGCAGCGACGCCGCGUGAGCGAAGAAGGUUUUCGAAUCGUAAAGCUCUGUCCCAUGAGAAGAUAAUGACGGUAUCAUAGGAGGAAGCCCCGGCUAAAUACGUG